UACGGAGGGGGCUAGCGCUGUUCGGAAUUACUGGGCGUAAAGCGCUCGUAGGCGGACUGUUAAGUCGGGUGUGAAAUCCUGGGGCUCAACCUCAGAAUUGCCUCCGAUACUGGCAGUCUCGAGUGCGGGAGAGGUGAGUGGAAUUCCCAGUGUAGAGGUGAAAUUCGUAGAUAUUGGGAAGAACACCGGUGGCGAAGGCGGCGACCUGGACAGUAACUGACGCUGAGACGCGAAAGCGUGGGUAGCAAACAGG
rnacentral:rRNA from 1 species